UAAUUAAACAAACCAAAUGGCAUCACUGGUGGUUCUUUUUCCACUCCGCUAAACUGUCAUCUCAAACAAAAACAAAUGGAUCAUACAACUGCUAUGAAUACAUUCGACUCGUUUGCUUCCAUCAAUCGGUAAGUGAGAAAGAUGAUUUCUCCCAUCAGUGCGGAUUUCCACUUCUAUCACAGCAGCCAACAACAUCCGUUUUCCUGCAGCAGUAACCUAUAACCCCUGUUGGCGAUGCCGGGGGACAGCAUCAACAGCAGCAGCAGCAGAAUUUGACCAUGGUAUGGUAUUGCGAAGAACUUUCCCCAUUAGAGGUUCCGUGCUUCGCGCACAUUCAAAAUCCUCUUCAGACACGAAAACUCAACGACAAGGAGGUAUUUAUCAACUUGCUCAGCUGAAUUACCACCCGGAGGAACCCGAAUGCACUGAUUCCGUUGUAUAGUAGAAUGAAAAUAGGCGAGGUAAGCGAACGUAAUCGCAUGAUAUUUUAAUAGUUCGCAUUUUUAUCCGGAUCAUACAACUGCUAUGAAUACAUCCGACUCAAUCAAUCGGCGAAUGAGAAAGAUGAUUUCCCUCAUCACCACAUUGCUUAUUUCCACUUCUGUCACGCCAGCCAACAGCAUCAGCUUUCCCGCAGCAGUAUCCUUUAAGUCCAGGGUGCUAUUCCGGGGAACAGCAUCAUCAGUAACAGCAGCAGGACCUGGCCAUCGAUAGUAUUUCGAGCAAUUUUCCCCAUCGGAGAUCCCGUGCUUCACGCACAUUGAAGAAACCUCCUCAGCCACAUAUGUGUGUCAAGGAGAAAAAGGAGCUGGAUUCGAAUCGUCAAUCCAGACAACCUGAAUGCACCGAUUGCAUUAUAUAUCUUGUUUAUAUUUUAUAUGCAUUUUGUGUUUUUUUGAAUAAAAUGAUUAAAAUCGA